UUCGGGAGUAAGACCAACAGGGAUUGCCCUAGUAACGGCGAGUGAAGCGGCAACAGCUCAAAUUUGAAAUCUGGCUCUUUCAGAGUCCGAGUUGUAAUUUGCAGAGGGCGCUUUGGCUUUGGCAGCGGUCCAAGUUCCUUGGAACAGGACGUCACAGAGGGUGAGAAUCCCGUACGUGGUCGCUAGCUAUUGCCGUGUAAAGCCCCUUCGACGAGUCGAGUUGUUUGGGAAUGCAGCUCUAAAUGGGAGGUAAAUUUCUUCUAAAGCUAAAUAUUGGCCAGAGACCGAUAGCGCACAAGUAGAGUGAUCGAAAGAUGAAAAGCACUUUGGAAAGAGAGUCAAACAGCACGUGAAAUUGUUGAAAGGGAAGCGCUUGCAGCCAGACUUGCUUGCAGUUGCUCAUCCGGGCUUUUGCCCGGUGCACUCUUCUGCAGGCAGGCCAGCAUCAGUUUGGGCGGUGGGAUAAAGGUCUCUGACACGUUCCUUCCUUCGGGUUGGCCAUAUAGGGGAGACGUCAUACCACCAGCCUGGACUGAGGUCCGCGCAUCUGCUAGGAUGCUGGCGUAAUGGCUGUAAGCGGCCCGUCUUGAAACACGGACCAAGGAGUCUAACAUCUAUGCGAGUGUUUGGGUGUCAAGCCCGAGCGCGUAAUGAAAGUGAACGGAGGUGGGAACCCGCAAGGGCGCACCAUCGACCGAUCCUGAAGUUUACGGAAGGAUUUGAGUAAGAGCAUGGCUGUUGGGACCCGAAAGAUGGUGAACUAUGCUUGAAUAGGGUGAAGCCAGAGGAAACUCUGGUGGAGGCUCGCAGCGGUUCUGACGUGCAAAUCGAUCGUCAAAUUUGGGCAUAGGGGCGAAAGACUAAUCGAACUAUCUAGUAGCUGGUUCCUGCCGAAGUUUCCCUCAGGAUAGCAGUAACGUAUUCAGUUUUAUGAGGUAAAGCGAAUGAUUAGAGGCAUGGGGGGUUGAAACAACCCUUCACCUAUUCUCAAACUUUAAAAUAUGUAAGAAGCCCUUUGUUACUUAAUUGAACGCGGGCAUUUGAAUGAAACGUUAUUAGUGGGCCCAUUUUUGGUAAGCAGACUGGCGAUGCGGGAUGGAUGACCGAGGGGUUACGGUGUCGAAGUACACGGCUCAUCAGACACCCACAAAGCUAUUGGAUUCAUCCUAGACCAGCCAAGGAACGGGUGUGGCUCAAUGUGG
rnacentral:rRNA from 1 species